UGCUCCCUGAUGUUAGCGGCGGACGGGUGAGUAACACGUGGGUAACCUGCCUGUAAGACUGGGAUAACUCCGGGAAACCGGGGCUAAUACCGGAUGGUUGUUUGAACCGCAUGGUUCAAACAUAAAAGGUGGCUUCGGCUACCACUUACAGAUGGACCCGCGGCGCAUUAGCUAGUUGGUGAGGUAACGGCUCACCAAGGCGACGAUGCGUAGCCGACCUGAGAGGGUGAUCGGCCACACUGGGACUGAGACACGGCCCAGACUCCUACGGGAGGCAGCAGUAGGGAAUCUUCCGCAAUGGACGAAAGUCUGACGGAGCAACGCCGCGUGAGUGAUGAAGGUUUUCGGAUCGUAAAGCUCUGUUGUUAGGGAAGAACAAGUACCGUUCGAAUAGGGCGGUACCUUGACGGUACCUAACCAGAAAGCCACGGCUAACUACGUGCCAGCAGCCGCGGUAAUACGUAGGUGGCAAGCGUUGUCCGGAAUUAUUGGGCGUAAAGGGCUCGCAGGCGGUUUCUUAAGUCUGAUGUGAAAGCCCCCGGCUCAACCGGGGAGGGUCAUUGGAAACUGGGGAACUUGAGUGCAGAAGAGGAGAGUGGAAUUCCACGUGUAGCGGUGAAAUGCGUAGAGAUGUG
rnacentral:rRNA from 1 species